ACCUGCCUGCAGAUACAAACCCCACUCCCUGCGAAGAUGGUGUACACGCAGCCCCGAGCACAGACCCGAAGCUGUCCACCCUUCUUGGGCGCCGUCGCGGUCUGGCCGCUGCCCUUCGAACCCAUGCCAUGUUGGAACUACAUUUGGAAAGGUGGUUGUUAAACAUUUCCCAGCACACACCUGGAUCUGCAUCUGCUGUGUCAAUUGAACCACUCACUGGUUCUGUGACCUCAGUUCUUCGUAGACUCUGGAAUGGAGCUGGAAGCUGUCAUCCUCAGCACACUAACGCAGGAACAGAAAACCAAGCACUGCAUGUUCCCACUUAUAAGUGAGAGCUGAACGAGCAGAACACAUGGACAUAUGAAGGGGAACAACACACUCUGGGGCCUGUGAGGUGCGGGGAGAGCAUCAAGAAGAACAGCUAAUGGGUGCUGGGCUUAAUACCUGGGUGAUGGGUUGAUCUGUGCGGCAAACCACCAUGGCACACAUUUACCUAUGUAACAAACCUGGACAUCCUGCACAUGUACCCCGGAACUUAAAAAUAAAAGUUGACAAAAAGAAA
rnacentral:antisense_RNA from 1 species